GAGAAAACUGUGUUCAGAUGUUGUACAUGACUUCACAGGAUUUACAAGAGUCAAUCAAGGAAUUCAUGAAAGAGAUUGUUGAUAUGGCAAAAAAAAAUUAGGUGAGAGGUGA